UGAGUAGAGCGGCGGACGGGUGAGUAACGCGUAGGAAUCUACCUAGUAGAAGGGGAUAGCCCGAGGAAACUCGGAUUAAUACCGUAUACCUCCUUAGGGAGAAAGAGGGCCUCUCUUGAUGCUCUCGCUAUUAGAUGAGCCUGCGUAAGAUUAGCUUGUUGGUGAGGUAAUGGCUCACCAAGGCUACGAUCUUUAGCUGGUCUGAGAGGACGAUCAGCCACAUUGGGACUGAGACACGGCCCAGACUCCUACGGGAGGCAGCAGUGGGGAAUAUUGGACAAUGGGCGCAAGCCUGAUCCAGCCAUACCGCGUGUGUGAAGAAGGCCUUCGGGUUGUAAAGCACUUUAAGCAGGGAGAAAAAGUUAUAAGUUAAUACCUUAUAACCGUGAUGUUACCUGCAGAAUAAGCACCGGCUAAUUCCGUGCCAGCAGCCGCGGUAAUACGGAAGGUGCAAGCGUUAAUCGGAAUUACUGGGCGUAAAGCGCGCGUAGGUGGUUUGUUAAGUUGGAUGUGAAAGCCCUGGGCUCAACCUAGGAACUGCAUCCAAAACUAACUCACUAGAGUACGAUAGAGGGAGGUAGAAUUCAUAGUGUAGCGGUGGAAUGCGUAGAUAUUAUGGAGAAUACCGGUGGCGAAGGCGGCCUCCUGGA
rnacentral:rRNA from 1 species